rnacentral:rRNA from 1 species
CGGACGGGUGAGUAAUGUCUGGGAAACUGCCCGAUGGAGGGGGAUAACUACUGGAAACGGUAGCUAAUAUCGCAUAACGUCGCAAGACCAAAGAGGGGACCUUCGGGCCUCUUGCCAUCGGAUGUGCCCAGAUGGGAUUAGCUAGUAGGUGGGGUAACGGCUCACCUAGGCGACGAUCCCUAGCUGGUCUGAGAGGAUGACCAGCCACACUGGAACUGAGACACGGUCCAG